UACGAAGGGGGCUAGCGUUGCUCGGAAUCACUGGGCGUAAAGGGUGCGUAGGUGGCUUGUUAAGUCAGGGGUGAAAGUUUUCGGCCCAACCGGAAAAUGGCCUUUGAUACUGGCGAGCUCGAGUGCGUGAGGGGUAACCGGAACGAGCAGUGUAGCGGUGAAAUGCGUAGAUAUUGCUCGGAAGGCCAACGGCGAAGGCAGGUUACUGGUGCGCAACUGACACUGAGGCACGAAAGCGUGGGGAGCAAACAGG
rnacentral:rRNA from 1 species